rnacentral:rRNA from 1 species
AGGUCAAGUAGAAAAGGGCGCAUGGUGAAUGCCUAGGCACUAGAAGCCGAUGAAGGACGUGACGAACCACGAAAGGCUUCGGGGAGCAGUAAGUAAGCGAAGAUCCGGAGAUAUCCGAAUGGGGGAACCCAAUACCGCGAGGUAUUAUCAAGAGCUGUUAAGGCUGUUGAAGGAAGACGCAGUGAACUGAAACAUCUAAGUAGCUGCAGGAAGAGAAAGAAAAAUCGAUUUCCCAAGUAGCGGCGAGCGAACAGGAAAGAGCCCAAACCAGCUGGCUUGCCAGUUGGGGUAGUAGGACUGCAAUAAAGUACUUGAAGCGAUAGCAGAAUUAUCUGGAAAGAUAAGCCAGAGAGGGUGAGAGCCCCGUAAGCGAAAUUGCAGAGAGACUUAGCAGGAUCCUGAGUAGGUCGGGACACGAGGAAUCCCGAUUGAAACCGCGAGGACCAUCUCGCAAGGCUAAAUACUAACUAGUGACCGAUAGUGAACCAGUACCGUGAGGGAAAGGUGAAAAGAACCCCGGAAGGGGAGUGAAAGAGAACCUGAAACCGUGUGCCUACAAGUAGUCAAAGCACAUUAAAGUGUAAUGGCGUGCCUUUUGUAGAAUGAACCGGCGAGUUACGUUAUGGUGCAAGGUUAAGUCAGAAAAGACGGAGCCGGAGCGAAAGCGAGUCUGAAGAGGGCGAGAGAGUAUCAUGACGUAGACCC